AAAUAACAUGGGAGUGUGCCAGCCCAAGGCUCUGCCCUUUCUUUACAGGGGAGAAGGAAGGAAAGUCCAGCCGGCUGAGCUGGCUGCGCCAACAGAGUCGUAACGAUUCAAAACCUUCAGCGUUUGGAAAUGGGAACGUUUCCCUGCCUGCCUGAUUAGCCUGUCUGGAUCGCAGUAUGAGCCUUGUGGAGCCACCACUUGGCAUACAUCAAGUGAGGCACCCUGGAAGCCAAAGUGAUCUCCGUGGAAGAGUGUUUUCCCAUCGAAAAUAAUUCCACUGAUUGAAAAAACCAUUAAAAGUUAGCUGCUCCGUUCAUUAAAGAUUAACUUAUACUGUACUUAAGUCUGCACUUCAGAGCUGGUCACUAAUUGCACAGGAGAUGAUUUAUCAAGUGCACAGGAUUUUCUAUUACAAAAUUAUUGAUUAACGCUGAUGUGUUUUAACCACAAUAGACUCUAACUGGGAGCCUUGUGAAAUGACUGCAGCCGAGGUCAGUGCCUGGCAGCAGCAGCAAAUUAUUUCAAAUUUACUGAAAUUUUUGUAUGGCUCUGUCGGAGGCCCUGUCCCUCAAGGAUAAAGAAAAAUGCCUCCAACAAUAAAGUAAGAUAAACAGGUAUUGUGCGCGGUUUGAACGCCAGAAUGCAAUUACAGGCACGUGUGUUUGUAAUGGCUGCGAAAUUACCUGGGACCUACGUAGGGCUCGAGAACCCUUCGGAGAAAGGAUUCUGCUUUAAUUUAUUAGCAAUAAAAAUCCCAUGUCUUCAGGAGAAUAGGGGUAGAGCCCGUAGAAGGGAGAGGAGAAAGCUGUCCCUAACAAGGCCGAAUAAGACUCCCCCAGCGACCUCCUACCUGCAAACCUUGCACACGUCUGGAAGAAGACGGAGCCUUUACCCAUCAGACAUGUGCUUAGGGCAGAGUUUGGCUUCCUUCGCUUCUUCUGCCUCUUUAAAAGAAGACAUUUUCCUUUUGUUUGCAUCCAGCCAUUUCAUCCCCCUGCUAAUUUAGCUCAUUCGACCCACUGGGAACCGGGGACUCUUAAAGCAAAUGCGUCAACUCUGCUGAGUUCCAGUUGCCGGCCUCUGUCAAGUAAUUACGGGCUGUUCCAGUGGAGUGAGAAAUUUCAGCCUACUUGCUUUUCCCAGGUGGUCCACUUGUUAGGUUCUGGCUUUCGAGAUUACAUGCCUUGGAUUAAAUUUUAUGUACUUUUAUGUAGUGAAAUAAAAAGAGGAGCGCAGUUCCAUUUCAGCUCCUGCCCCAAAGGGGAACGCACUGCCCGGGCAGUAUAAAUCCCGAAUUGGUUCAUCGCCGGAUCGUUCGCCCGCGUCUCCUCCUGACGCUUAAACGGGGCGAUCCAGACUCCUCUCAUUUCGUGCACGCCGACCAACUGUCGCCCCAUUUUUUUUUCUUUAUUUUUUAUUGCUGCAAUUUGCUAACGCAAUCAGCGCUUAACUACGAGGCUAAAUUUUUAGAGCACCUUAUUUAAGCGUACGGCGUGGGUUUCUAUGCCCCGUGCAAUUUGCCGCUCGGCUAGUUUUUAGAUACGUUCCUUAUUUAAUCAUACGUCUUGCACAUUAAACAGUGGGUCCCCGCGUCUCUUUAGCAGACUGAAAUCUAAGGGGGAAAUUGUUCUCCCCCUCUACGCCUAAGUGUUGGUAGUGCUCAGGAGCAAUAAAGGGGAUUGUGCGUGGGGACAAUAUAGCCAUCCGCAGGUUUCUAGUCGUGUCAGCUCCAUCCAGGAAGUUCCUUGGCUGAUUUACUUUAUGUACUAUUAGAGGUAAGGAGCAGAGACAAAUGCUUAAUUGUAUCUUGAAAGCACCUUCCAGAUACUUUGCUUCUUUUAAUAACAUUUGCUUAGAUAAGCGUGCUAAAGAUUCGGCUGAACGUACGUGAUGGGGUAUGAAUGUGCUUGCUCAAAACUAGCAGCAGUUAGGUUGCAAACAGGGUGCCGGACCAGACGGGGGAAAGCAGCACUGUAGGGUAGCUUUUCUACUCCCAGCAGGAUAUUUUCUGACAAACCACUGUGCAAUUCAGGACUUGAAUUAUUGGCUGUUAUUGACAACCGCUUCCUUUCUAAAACACUUAAAAAGCGGAGUACAUACAACUGGGCACAAGAAGCAAAGACGUUUGCUGGCUCAGUGGUAAAGAUGAUGAACUUGUCUUGGAAAACCUUAUGCAGAUCCCUCCGAAACAUUGGCUCUUCAAUUUAUAAACGUUCUCUUAACCUCGGCCACGCGGUGCUGGACGCAAACCGCGGCUGGCACAGUGUCUGCUGCGUGACAUGGAGAAGGUUUAUGACCUCAAUACAAUCUCCCUGCGGCUCAGAACGGUUUGGUAGGAAGCUAUUGUACGCAGAUCAAUAGGGUUUAAAAUUUCCAGUGGAGUGAUUUAGGUUUGGCGUACCCGGUUUAAGACUGCUGAAGAAUGAGUCUAUGGGCUAAUGUAGACGAGUAACAGGUUGAUGAAGAAACCAUGAUGGUAAAAUGAUUUUUAAAAAUAAAUAAAUAAAUAAAUAAAAGCUUAAUUCCUUUUUUAAGUAAAUGUUCUAAGAGAUCAUAUUUAGAUUCAAAGUUUUAAUGCCUGGAAUUUUUUAUUUGGAAAAAAAAAAAAAAAGCA